rnacentral:rRNA from 1 species
CAGUCGCCGCGGUAAUACAUAGGUGGCAAGCGUUGUCCGGAAUUAUUGGGCGUAAAGCGCGCGCAGGUGGUUUAAUAAGUCUGAUGUGAAAGCCCACGGCUCAACCGUGGAGGGUCAUUGGAAACUGUUAAACUUGAGUGCAGGAGAGAAAAGUGGAAUUCCUAGUGUAGCGGUGAAAUGCGUAGAGAUGUGGAGGAACACCAGUGGCGAAGGCGACUCUCUGGUCUGUAACUGACGCUGAGGAGCGAAAGCGUGGGGAGCGAACAGGAUUAGAUACCCGUGUAGUCCCUGUCUCUUAUAC